UGUUAGGUCCAAAAAUAAAACGCUAACUCCAGACAGUUCAAGGCCACAGCACACAUCUGACUCUCGACUGCCUGCCAAGGAAGAGGGGGGCCCAAAAUCCACCAACCAGUCUUAAAAAAAAAAUAAAAAAAUUCAGCUAAACAAACCUGCAAAGACAGCCCAUAACAAGCAAGGCAAACGAACGCCAGCACAAUGAAAAGCAAAAAAACCAACAAAGUCUAGCCGGUGUGUUUUGGGAAAGUCAAGGAGAUCACAAAAAGCCAGUUUUAACUGGCACAAAAAGCAUCAUAAGCAAACACCCUCCAAAAAACCCAAAACUUAAAACCCUCUUAAAAGCUGAAGCAAUUCAGAGAUCAGCAGCGGACCUCGAACAACCUGGGCCCAGAACAAAACUCCGGUCCACCCUUCCCCCUCUUCUUCGUACUUUACACCCAGGCUUAGCCAGCCUUGGGUAGAGCAUGUAAGGCCCAGAGAGUGGCAUGUGGCCUGAAGCACCACAACAUCCUUUUAGACCUGAGACCUGGAACUGUCCUUGAGGAGCCAGUUGUCAAGGGUUCAGCAGUCGAGGGGCAAGUCCUGCAUUGACUGCUGAGCCUUAGAGGACAAGCCAGUGAGGAGCAGCCAGGAGGCUCGCCGCAUGGAGAUAGUGGAAACCCUGGUGCGAGCAGCAGCAGCAGUGUCCGAAGCCGCCUGGAGGGCUGCCUUGGCCAUGGUCGUGUCCUCAUCGAGGGUCGCUCAGAACUCCUUUUUGAAAGCCUCAAAGAGCGACUCUUCGAACUUGACCAUGGUUUGCCACAUAUUGAAGUCAUACCAGCCAAGGAGGGCUUGGUGGUUGGCCACUCUCAGCUGAAGGCUGGAAAACAAAUAAAUCUUAUGUCCAAAGAGAUCCAGCCUCCUUGAGUCUUUAUUUUUGGGGGUGGCCCUGGGUUGUCCUUGCCUCUCUUUGUGGUUAACCUCCUCUACCAUAAGGGAAUUGGGGGCAGGGUGGGAGUAUAAGUACUCAUGCCCCUUGGUUGGCACAAAGUACUUGCGUUCGGCCCUCUUAGAGAUAGGGGCCAAGGAAGAGGGGGUCUGCCACAGGGCAUUAGUAAUUUUGGAAACCCCUGGGUAAGACCACCCUGGCAGGAGCUGAGGAGCAGAGAACAUCAAACAGAGAGUCUGAAGGUUCUUCUAGUUCCUCUGCCUGAAGCCCCAAGUUGGAAGCGACCCUCUUCAAAAGUUCCUGGUGCGCUUUGGCGUCAUCCUGAGGAACCGGCUGAGGGGGCUCCAUGGUAUUGUCCUCAUCGUCGCCAGACGAGGCUGACAGUGCCGUGGGAACGUCCACGUUCAUUGGUGGUCCAGCACCUUGCUCCCCUGGGUCCUCCUGGACCUGCGGAGUCUUAUCCCCUUGAAGCCUUGAACACUGGAGGGGGACAGGAUACUGAGACCACUGGUCUCUCCUAGGCUCCCGAUACCAAUUGGGACAGCCUGGGACGGUUCGGUGAAUCCCCAAGGGUUCAACGGGUACCAUGGUGCUGGCCACUGCACUUGGGACCAAGGAACUGGUUUCGGUGCUGUUGAUGCUGGCAUCACCAUAGGUACCAGGGCUUGUCCCACAGUUAGGGAACAUUGCUCCGUACCGGAGCUGGAAACGGAGCGGUCAGUACCGGGCAACCAGGAAUGGACGGACCGCUGGCUCUUGUCCGACUGGUGCCGAUCGCUGCAACCCAAAGCCGACCUGUCCGAGCGAGUUGGGCAUUUUGGUCAGGGUUUCGGAGACCGAUGACGUUCGGCGGAUCUGCGUAGGUCACCCAGCAAUCCAUGCCUCACACUGCUCAACCGGUACCGGGAUGUCGAACGGGACUUGAAGCCACUACGGGACAGCUGUUGGGAGGAACCUCCUGAGAAGGGCGAUCUUCUCCUAGGAGAUGGGCGAUGACGACCGAGUAAUCAGCGGUCUCUGCUCUCUGAUCUGUCCCGUGAUCAGUACCGGGCCCUUGGAGAUGGUUGAGGAUGGUCCCGGAGAUCUUGCUGGGUGGCGCGUGCCCCAGAAUGUCUGUGCCAAUCUACUGGCAAGGAAUGCCUCGAAUCCCUCGAUCGGUGCCCCCAGUGUGGGGACUGAAGGGGGCUCCGCUGAGCUUAACUCUCUCGUCCCAUGAGGUGACGGCUUCGCGCAGGCAAGCGUAGGUGGGACAUCCCUCUCGAUGGGGAAUGGUGCCACUGGGGUGGGGACACACACAUAGGUCCCAAAGUGGGUUUUUCCCGAGACCGGGGUACCACUGGAGCUGGUGUGAGCAGCACCAGAAGUGUCAGGAUCUCCUGAGCUGCUUGAAGGGCUUCAAGCGUUGAUGGCACCUGAAGCCGGUCGUUACCUGCACUGCUAUCUGGAGUUGCAGGUGAAGUACAGGAUGGGCUGCACCGCUUGACUUGAGCUGGGGCCCAACUUCCUGAAGGGUGCGUUGAGCUGCCCAGCACAGGUCAUGGCUCACCCCAGCCCUCUCCUUUCCCUUGCAGGAUGUAGGAGAUCAUCCCUUCACGUUCUUCUUUGCCUUCAUGACCGGAGCCAGCUCAUGGACGGCGCCAAUGGAGCACUGCGCAUGGAGGCCAUUGUGCUCGGUGCAGAGUCGGACCGCUGUUCCGGUGCCGGAGUGAGUGCCGACUCCAUUAGGAGCACCCUUUGAUGAGUUUUGCAUGCCUUCUUCGUCCUAGGUUUAAAGGAUUUGCAGAUAUGGCACUUGUCACUUAUGUGCCCCUCGUCUAAGCACCGUAGGCAGCUGGUAUGUGGAUCGCUGACGAGCAUAGGUUGUUUACAGCGAUCGCAGGGCUUAAAGCCUGGGGACCAGGGCAUGCCCUGUCCGCAAGCUGAGUCCCGUUCAGGACUAACGAAGAGUUGAGAACUACUACUAAGUGCUUAACUAAGAAACUACUAACUAUAUACAAUUAUUUUACAGAUUUUCAAAAUUCGCAAGAACAGAGAACGAAACAAUGCUAGCCGAAGCAGCAGAUGUUCCAGCACCGUCACUGGUGGCAAGAAAGAACUGAGGGUGGGGGUAGCCGGCAGCGCCCCUUAUACCGUGCCAUGCAGGUGCCACUCCAGAGGGCGCCAGAGCCGGUCCCCUGCAGACACUGCUACGGGAAAAAACUUCCAGCACCGGUGCAUGUGGUGAGCACACACACCUAAUAUGGAAUGGACAUGAGCAAGCACUCGAAGAAGAAAUGUUAGACACAACCAGAAGGGGUUCUACAAAUAUGCCAGGCAAUAAAGAAAGAUCAGAGAUAGCAUAUGUCCGUUGCUCAAUGGAGAAGGUGAGCUGGUAUCGGACGAUAAGAUGGCGGAGCUGCUCAAUGCCUACUUUGCUUCAGUCUUCACACAAAAAAUAAUGUGACCAGACGACUAAUGAAGGGGAAGGGAUGCAGAUCAGGAUAAGUAAAGAACAUGUCAGAGAUCUUCUGACUAAUUUGAAUGAAUUCAAUCAGCAGGGGUGGAUGCUAUUCAUCCCAGGGGCUGGAGGAAUUAGCUGAAGAAAUCUCAGAACCACUGGCAAUAAUAUCUGAAAACUCAUAGAUGAUUGAUGAGGUUUCAGAAGACUAGAAAAGAGCUAACUUUAAUGCCCUUCUUAAAAAGGGGAAAAGGAGGUGCUGGGGAACUAAAGACCAGUCCACCUGACCUCAGCACCUGGGAAACUACUAGAGCACUGUAUAAAACAUUCAAUUUUGUAGA